rnacentral:rRNA from 1 species
CCUACGGGAGGCAGCAGUAGGGAAUAUUGCUCAAUGGGGGAAACCCUGAAGCAGCAACGCCGCGUGGGGGACGAAGGUUUUCGGAUCGUAAAGUCCUGUUGUUAGAGAAGAUAAUGACGGUAUCUAAAGAAUAAGCACCGGCUAACUCCGUGCCAGCAGCCGCGGUAAUACGGAGGGGGCAAGCGUUAGUCGGAUUCACUGGGCGUAAAGAGCGCGUAGGCGGGAUAGCAAGGCAGAGGUGAAAGCCGAUGGCCUAACCAUAGAACUGCAUUUGAAACUGUUAAUCUAGAGUGUGGGAGGGGAAGGUGGAAUUCUUGGUGUAGGGGUGAAAUGCGUAGAGAUCAAGAGGAAUACUCGUUGCGAAGGCGACCUGCUGGAUCGUAACUGACGCUGAGGCGCGAAAGCGUGGGGAGCAAACAGGAUUAGAUACCCGAGUAGUC